UACCGACAGAGAACUGUCACGAGUAAUCUUUUCUAUUUUAGUAACAUAUUCUGUUCCGAUUCGUGUUGACGUCCAGUGUGUCCUAAGUAAACCAAACGCAAACUAAUUUUUUAAAAUGAAAAUAAAUCUUUUAAUUUGCGUAACAAUAUUAAUAUUGGGAAAAACAUUUUGUAUUAACGAUACCGUCGAAAACUUUGAAAAAGAGUUAAGAAAAUGGGAAAAACAUUUUUCCGAUUUACGAAGAUUAAUUGAACAUAAAAAAGAAGAUAUACAUUUAAAAAAUACACUCUCAAAUGAAUGUGUAUUGAAAGCAACAAAUAUGAAAUUUUCUAUCGAAAAAUUAGAAAGUGACUUGCAAAGUAAAUCUGACAAUCUUGACAAGGAAAGAAAUCUAGUUGAGUGUAUUAUUAAAAAUCUUAACGAUACUCAGAAAAGUCUGACUUUAAAAGAAAAUACAAUUGAAAUAUUACAGAUCGAUUUGAAAUCAAACUUAACUGCGUUAAAUGACAAAAUUAAUUUAAAUAAAGACAAAGCCGGAACAAUUAAUAAGUUGAACAGUACAAUCACUGAAAUGAAUAAAACUAUUCAAGAACUAAAUGAAAAAGUGCACCAAAAUGAAGUAUCUUAUAAUUCAAAAAAACAAAUCCUUUCAAAUAAUAAGGAAGAUCUUAAGAACGUUAAUACAAAAAUCGUCAAAAAGGAGAAUGAAAUAAAGAAUUUAAAAUCGAAAACUGAUAAUAAUAAACAAAAGAUAUUGGAAUUACGUGAGACAAUAGCCAAAUACGAAACUUGUUGCGGAUCUGCCACCUUGGGUUCAGCAAUUGGGAAAGAAGUAGAGUGAAGAAGCAUACUCUGAUCCUCACAAAGAGUGGUACCCAACUUUGCAGUGCUUUGAAAAAAUAUUUAAAGAUUGACUUCUUCAUAAAAGAUUGAAUUUAGAUGUCAAACAUAAACCGAAUUAAAAAUUUUGAAUAAAAUUUUAAAUUUCUGUGUCUA